AAGGGUGCGUAGGCGGGCUACCAAGCUAGGGGUUAAAGGCAUAGGCUCAACCAAUGUAAGCCUUUGGAACUGGUAGUCUUGAGUGCAGGAGAGGUAAGUGGAAUUCCUAGUGUAGAGGUAAAAUUCGUAGAGAUUAGGAGGAACACCGGUGGCGAAGGCGACUUACUGGACUGUAACUGACGCUGAUGCACGAAGGCGUGGGGAGCAAACAGGAUUAGAUACCCUGGUAGUCCACGCCGUAAAC
rnacentral:rRNA from 1 species